UUUAAUUAAUUUUUGUUUAUUAAACUCGGACAACAAAAUAUUCAAGAGUUUUAUAAUUUCCUCUGGCGGGAGUUGGAAAAAGCUUUAAUUACUACCCCGCCAAAGCAACAAAGUCAAGUACAACAAAGGGUUUGAAGGUUUACCCCCCAAAAAGAGGGCAUAACUCUUUUUAUUAAUGAUCCCUCCGCAGGUUCACCUACGGAAA
rnacentral:misc_RNA from 1 species